UGAUUGCUUAGAAGUUUGUGUUUUGCUCGUCACUCGGUCUCUACAGUUCAAAAGUUUGACUUGUGGGACUUGGGAUUUCCGGUUAGUGUGUUAAGGGGAUAACGAGUUGUGAUGAAAUUGCUACUAUGAUACAUCCUGGAAAUAUUGAUGAUUAUGUCUAGCAACAAACAGCCUGGAUGUGCAGGUAAAGUUCUCGGGAAAGGAUGGCAGGAUGUGUGGUGUUUGUGGAACGGAAGAUGAAAGUGCGCAUAGUUUGGGCGUUACUAGAGCGGAAGAUGUGUGGAAUGAAACCUUUGAAUGGUAUUAAUGGUAUUCGCCCAAGGCUAUCUCGUCCGCUGGAAGUGCUACACAUUCUUGUGAUGAACAAUGCGCUAGGCAGUCCUUGGAGAUGAAGUUAGGUUACAGCUGACGAUUUCAGUUAGACAACAUUGUAGCUGACUGUGGUUUCUCCACUACAGCUGACGGGAUUUAGCAAGUUGUGGGGUGAUUUUAGAAGCCACGUGUGACUUUCUGUAUUUCCUGUUUGUUUAGGAUGCAACUGAUAUCAGAUGUCCAAAUAGAAGCUUUGUCCCAAACUUGCUUGGGUUGACUGUCAGCUGGAAUGUUGUGAUUGGUGAUGCAGUCUCUAUUCACUCUUCUGGAUAAACAAUAGGAAGACUUAGGAUACCUAGUCCUUCCUGUUGCUCUAGUAGACAGCCUCAG